rnacentral:rRNA from 1 species
UACAUAGGGUGCUAGCGUUGUCCGGAUUUAUUGGGCGUAAAGGGCUCGUAGGCGGCGUGUCGCGUCGGGAGUGAAAUCCACUCGGCUUAACUGGUGCUUGCUUUCGAUACGGGCAGUACUGGAGGUAUGCAGGGGAGAACGGAAUUCCUGGUGUAGCGGUGAAAUGCGCAGAUAUAGGAGGAACACCGGUGGCGAAGGCGGCCUGCUGGGCAGUAGCUGACGCUGAGGCGCGACAGCGUGGGGAGCAAACAGG